CACAGUGGCAAUACAUAUCCGGGUAGAAUAUUAUUUUUACUUUGAAUGAACUUUUAAUGUGUUCUACCUUUAAUACGUAAUAUUCACGUACUGAAUAAUUUAAGCAAGUAUUUACACAAACACGGAAGGAAUAUAUACAUUCAUUUAUUUACUGGCUCGAAUUUGUUCAACAGUUCCAUGAGCACGACUACAAUGAUGUAAAAGCUUUCUACUGAAUACCUCUAAGUAACAACAGCCUCGUGACGAUGACGUCUCUUUCCAAUUCCGCAUGGUAUGCGUUCAUUUUCACUGCGAUAGCAAUGUUCAUCAUGUGCAUUAUCGUAUGUAACCUCAGACGACGAUUUAAACAACCACGUGGAUUGCAGCGUGAAUCUGACCGAUCCGCCGAUCCUUCAUUAAAUAUGAUAUACUCCAUAAGUAUAGACCCAGUUCUUAGAAACUCUGUGUUCGCUUACCUAGAGCGGACGGCGCAAACUGACCGCGAUACUCCUCAGGUGGACAUAUUCGCUGGGUUGCCAAGCUACGAGGAAGCGGUUGAAAAAUCGGUACAGAAACCGAUGGACAAGCCUCCACCUUAUCACCUCAUAUCAGACAGACAGACAGACAGACAUUUUUAUUAAGACUUGUACCACUUGAACAACAUCUACAUAAACAUAUAUAUCUUCAUAUAACAUUACAAUGUGUAUAUACAACAUGUAAUGGUAAAUACGUUUUGUUUUAUAUAACACAACAUUCUAUGUGUAACAAAAGCAACAUACUAUGUGUAACAAAAAAUGGAGGCUGAACUUAAUAUUUAUCUUUCAACAUUCAACAAAUUAUUUCGAAUAAAAGAGCUUCUUUAAUAUACAAAGCUAGUUUAAUAAAUUCAUUUCUAUCAUUUGAUUUCAAUAUUCGUAGAAAUUUGUAUACAGAAGGGUGCAUGUAGUAACAACGUUUUAGAUAUUUCUUUCUAACAUCGGAAUAGCAUGGACAUAUGCAUAUAAAAUGAAAUUCAUCUUCAAUAUCAAAUGACCAAUGUGGUCAAGCGUGAGCAACAGUCGUCUGUUAAUAUUUUUUUUGGUUUCAAAUUGAUAAGUACUGUAAAUAUGUGCGGUCUUCUAGUUGACUCUGCAAUUAAAUCAAACUGAUUUAAUAUUGGUGCACCUUUGUCGCUGUUAUAAAGUGUGCGUUCUUUUUUACAUUUAUAUUUCUUUAUAUAAUAUGUAUGUAUGCUUAUAGUGAUAUUAUAUGCUGUUUUAUUGUCCAUAUGCCCUUUUCUUGGUCACCCUGUGUUAAAAUGCAACCAUAUAAUCAGAUUUCCGAUCUAAUAUUUCAUCAGUGAGUGCACAUUGGUUUGAAAGUCAUCAGUAUUUGAUCAUUUUUGGCAAAUACAUUGUAAAAUAUUUGAAAAUUUAAGUCGUAUUCUUUUUAAGGAUUACGCUCAAAUCUAAUGAUGCACAUGCUUUUACCUGUGUCUAUUUUGUGCAUGUAUGUUUGCAUAUAAAUGUUGCUGGUAUUUAUUUAAAAUGUCUUGGUAUGUAUAUAUAUACGUUUAUAAUUCUCUGUACCAUUCACAGGCAGAAUAUUAAUUUGUUAAGUUGUGUUGUUGAACAUUAUAUAUUUAUUUUUUAUUUAGUUUUACAAAACCUGCUUCUUUUUUAAUUGUUAGUUUCCUAUGAUGGUAAAGAUGAACACAUUUAAAAAAAACACAUGGGCGAUGGCCUAUGCAUAAUUACAUCAUAUACUAAUAUAUCUCAUUUAGAAGUGUAGUGCACAGGAACUCAUGGGUGUUUUUUAGUAAUUGCCUUGUCUUUAACUCAUUUUUGCUCAGUGCAAUUGACUUCAAACUCCAUUCAGAAAUAUCUCAUUGUGGACUUAUGCCAUGCAAAAGAACCAUAACACUGGCUGUUUUUCAGAGCAAAUCUUUGUCUUUAUCAACUUGAUAGAGUAGUCUUUAUUUGCAUCAAUAAUUAAUAAUUAAUAUAAUGUCAUAUGUUAUACUUCAUUCACGAUACUACUAUUAAUUUGAAAAUUAUAUGAGCCUUAGAUUUAUCGACAUUUUUGUAAAGAGAUCCUCCAGAAGAACACCAUCAUACGAAA